rnacentral:tRNA from 1 species
UUAGCUCAGUGGUAGAGCACUUGCCUGAUAGGCUUGAGGCCCUGGGUUCAAUCCCUAGA